AGACGUCGUUUUAUUCCCGUUGCCCAGGCUGGAAUACAAAGGCGUGAUCUCGGCUCACUGCAACCUCCACCUCCCAGGUUCAAGCAAUUCUCCUGCCUCAGUCUCCCGAGUAGCUGGGAUUACAGGCAUGCGCCACCACCCUCGGCCAAUUUUUUGUAUUUUUAGUAGAGACGGGGUUUCUCCAUGUUGGUCAGGCUGGUCUUGAACUCCUGACCUCAAGUGAUCCGCCCGCCUUGGCCUCCCAAAGUACUGGGAUUACAGGCGCGAGCCACCGUGCCCGGCAAGCAUCUGAAUAUCUUAACGUGGACUUAUAAUAAUGGAACAGCAGUUAACCAAAGCAGGGUCUAAGAUGAAAGACUGCCUGAAAUCAUUCCUAAACACAUGCUCAUGUGAGGAUGCCUCACUUACCUGCCAUGUCUGUGAGUACAAACCUGGAGUUUGUUUUUUGGGAUUUUUUUUGGUGGGGGGGAUGGAAUCUCGCUCUGUCACCCAGGCUGGAGUGCAGUGGCACAAUCUCGACUCACUGCAACCUCUGGCUCCCAGGUUCAAGCAAUUCUCCUGCCUCAGCCUCCCGAAUAGCUGGGAUUACAGGUGCCUGCCACCACACCCUGCUAAGUUUUGUAUUGUUAGUAGAGACAGGGUUUUGCCAUGUUGGCCAGGCUAGUCUCGAACUGCUGACUUCAAGUGAUCUCCCGCCUCGGCCUCCCAAAGUGCUGGUAUUAUAGGCAUGAGCCACCACGCCUGGCCUGAGGUUUGUAUUAUGGUGUAAUAUCACAGUGGUCCUUGGGAAAGAGCUCCUCUCUCCCUUGGAAUACAUUUUCUUUUCUUUCUUUUUUUUUUUUUUUUUGAGAUGGAGUCUCACUCUGUCGCCCAGGCUGGAGUCCAAUGGUGCGAUCUCAGCUCACUGCAACCUCCACCUCCAGGACUCAAGCCAUUCUUCUGCCUCAGCCUCCCAGGUAGCUGGGACUACAGGCAUGCACCAC
rnacentral:lncRNA from 1 species